GAGUUUGAUCCUGGCUCAGAACGAACGCUGGCGGCAUGCCUAACACAUGCAAGUCGAACGGGAUCCUGGCUUCGGCCAGGUGAGAGUGGCGGACGGGUGAGUAACGCGUGGGAACCUGCCCAAUGGUCUGGGAUAACCGCGGGAAACUGCGGCUAAUACCGGAUAAGCCCGAGAGGGGAAAGAUUUAUCGCCGAUGGAGGGGCCCGCGUCCGAUUAGGUAGUUGGUGAGGUAACGGCUCACCAAGCCGACGAUCGGUAGCUGGUCUGAGAGGAUGAUCAGCCACACUGGGACUGAGAUACGGCCCAGACUCCUACGGGAGGCAGCAGUGGGGAAUAUUGGACAAUGGGGGCAACCCUGAUCCAGCAAUGCCGCGUGAGUGAUGAAGGCCUUAGGGUUGUAAAGCUCUUUUGGCGGGGACGAUGAUGACGGUACCCGCAGAAUAAGCCCCGGCUAACUUCGUGCCAGCAGCCGCCGCUGUAA
rnacentral:rRNA from 1 species